AGCCAAUGUGCCUGAGGAAGCCACCGCCAAGCCUGGAUGUCAGACAUUACAGCCUUAGGGCGUUCCAGUCUGUAUGCAGUCCAGCCACUGAAGGCUCAAGCUUAGCAUGUACUUAGUGACGCCAGCCACCCCUACCACUUUGCAUUCACAGUGCACAAAAGGCUAAGCCGUUGAAAGUUCAAGAGGCUAGAAGAGACCUGCCUGGAUAAAGUUUCUCUUUCUCUUCUCACUAGAAGAAAAAUCGUCUCUGAAAUGAAACCUUAUUAAACUUACAUCCUUUCUGAAUAUAGUAA